GUGAGGAAUAUUGGUCAAUGGACGGAAGUCUGAACCAGCCAUGCCGCGUGCAGGAAUAAGGUCCUAUGGAUUGUAAACUGCUUUUAUUCGGGAAUAAACCUCUUUACGUGUAGGGAGCUGAAGGUACCGAAGGAAUAAGCACCGGCUAACUCCGUGCCAGCAGCCGCGGUAAUACGGAGGGUGCAAGCGUUAUCCGGAAUCAUUGGGUUUAAAGGGUCCGCAGGCGGGCUAUCAAGUCAGAGGUGAAAUCCCACAGCUUAACUGUGGAACUGCCUUUGAAACUGAUGGUCUUGAAUUAAGUGGGCGUUGGCGGAAUAUGACAUGUAGCGGUGAAAUGCUUAGAUAUGGCACAGAACACCAAUUGCGAAGGCAGCUCACUAAGGCGAUACUGACGCUGAGGCACGAAAGCGUGGGGAUCGAACAGGAUUAGAAACCCGAGUAGUCC
rnacentral:rRNA from 1 species